rnacentral:rRNA from 1 species
AACGAACGCUGGCGGCAGGCUUAACACAUGCGAGUCGAGCGCCCCGCAAGGGGAGCGGCAGACGGGUGAGUAACGCGUGGGAAUCUACCCAUCUCUACGGAAUAACGCAUGGAAACGUGUGCUAAUACCGUAUACGUCCUUCGGGAGAAAGAUUUAUCGGAGAUGGAUGAGCCCGCGUUGGAUUAGCUAGUUGGUGGGGUAAAGGCCUACCAAGGCGACGAUCCAUAGCUGGUCUGAGAGGAUGAUCAGCCACACUGGGACUGAGACACGGCCCAGACUCCUACGGGAGGCAGCAGUGGGGAAUAUUGGACAAUGGGCGCAAGCCUGAUCCAGCCAUGCCGCGUGAGGGAUGAAGGCCCUAGGGUUGUAAAGCUCUUUCACCGGUGAAGAUAAUGACGGUAACCGGAGAAGAAGCCCCGGCUAACUUCGUACCAGCAGCCGCGGUAACAC